rnacentral:lncRNA from 1 species
AAUGAGAGAAAGGAUGAAGCUGGGCUCCAAGUUUUCAGGUCUGAGUCUCCAAAUCAAAUACGAUAUCAUUGGUGAAACAUUCAGAACAGAACCAGGGCUGGAGAGGAGGCGGAAGUACGGCAUUUGAGAUAUACUGAUUGAAGAGACGCCUCUACUUGCACCGGGCAUUUAUGACUGACACCUAGAAUACGGUGUUGGUGUACACUUGGGGACAAGACAAGAACAUUAAAGAAGAGGUGCAAAAAGAAGAGCAGGGAGCCAAGGAUUGAAUUUCAGGGUUCAUCGACAUUUGAAUGAGCAGAGUCUGGUGAAACCAAGAAAAGAGAAGAAAGAGGAGCAGCCAGAAAAUUAAGAAGAGAAACAUGAUGCGAUCUAGGAAAUGUCAAUCUUAUCAGUCCUAGGAUUAGCGGAGACCAUUAGUUGCUUUCGACUGGUUUCAUGCACAGUAAAACAAAAGAAUCAGAGAAGGAGGAAAAGAAAGUGGAGGAAGAAGAGGAACAGCAGGCUUCAGCAUGGAUAGACUAAAAAUUGCAUAUGUGUGAGUCCAGAUUUCUGUUUUGCAAUUCUAUGACACGGGGAAAGCUAUUUAAUCUGAGUCAGGUCCUUUAUAUAUAACAUGGGCAUAAGACUACCUAACAUUAAGCUAUGUAGAUAAAAAUGAGAUGGUGACUGUAAGCCAUCUGGCACAUAAGUAAGUUUUCAAUAUAUUUUAAUCCCCUUUGUUCAACUCUACCCCUGCCCAAGGUCCUUCCAUAACCCUCAAAGCACAGUGAGGCAGGAC